rnacentral:snRNA from 1 species
GGAUGUGAGGGUUAUCUGGCUGUGACAUCUGUCACCCCAUUGAUCGCCAGGAUUGAUUUGGCCAAUCUGGCUGGCUAGGUGGGUGUCCCCUUCUCCCUCCCUGCUCCAUGUGUGUCCCUCCCAAAGCUGUGCGCUUGGUCAAAGAGGAUGACCCUCCCUGACAGAGGAGGACCAUUCUUGGGUCAAAGGUAUAUGAUAGCUGUGCUUCCCUGCUGGAACCUCCAGACAAGCUCUCAAGGUCUAUUUGUGGGAGAAUGUAGGAGAGUCCAGCUUCCAAGACUCCAGACACAUCCAAAUGAGGUGCUGCACAUUGCAGACAACCUUU